GACGAACGCUGGCGGCGUGCCUAAUACAUGCAAGUCGAACGCAGUGGGGACGGGCGAGUAACACGUGGGUAACCUCCCAUCAGAGGGGAUAACACUUGGAAACAGGUGCUAAACCGAUACUGAUGGAUGGACCCGCGGUGCAUUAGCUAGUGGGUGAGGUACCGGCUCACCAAGGCGACGAUGCACAGCCGACCUGAGAGGAUGAUCGGCCACACGGGGACUGAGACACGGCCCAGACUCCUACGGGAGGCAGCAGUAGGGAAUCUUCGACAAUGGGCGAAAGUCUGACCGAGCAACGCCGCGUGAGUGAAGAAGGUUUGCGGGUCGUAAAGCUCUGUUGUUAGAGAAGCGGUAUCUAACGAGAAAGCCACGGCUAACUACGUGCCAGCCGCCGCGGUAAUAC
rnacentral:rRNA from 1 species